rnacentral:rRNA from 1 species
UGGGGAAUAUUGCACAAUGGGCGAAAGCCUGACGGAGCAAUGCCGCGUGGAGGAAGACAGCCUGUGGGUCGUAAACUCCUUUUCUCAGAGAAGAAGUUCUGACGGUAUCUGAGGAAAAAGCAUCGGCUAACUACGUGCCAGCAGCCGCGGUAAAACGAACCGUGCGAACGUUAUUCGGAAUCACUGGGCUUAAAGCGCGUGUAGGCGGGUCGGCACGUCGGUUGCUGAACGGCCCCCGCUCAACCGGGG